ACUAAACAGGAUUCCCUUAGUAAUGGCGAAUGAACAGGGAUGAGCUCAACAUUGAAAUUGCGGCCUCAGGCUGUGAAUUGUAAUCUCAAGAUGUACUGCUAGCGGGGGCGCGGGUGAAAGCCUCUUGGAAAAGAGAAUCAUUGAGGGUGAGAAUCCUGUUUGUCACUCGCAGACCUCCGUGCACGGCGUACGUUCUUAGAGUCACGUUCCUCGGGAUUGGAGCGCAAAUUGGGUGGUAAAUUUCAUCCCAAGCUAAAUAUGGGUUCGAAACCGAUAGCAAACAAGUACCAUGAGGGAAAGAUGAAAAGGACUUUGAAAAGAGAGUUAAAAGUGCCUGAACUUGCUGAAAGGAAAGCGGAUGGAACCAGUGUUGCUUGGUAAGAUUGUCGCGUGCUAAGGUGAUUCUCGCUGCGUCAGCGCAAGCGGUGCUGUGGGUUGGAUCCUUCCGCGCGCGAUGCUUCUUGCCUUGUGCGUCAUCGUCGGUUUGGAGGUGAGGACAACUCUUGGGACAUGGUAGCUUGCCCCUGGGCGAGCGAACGUGCCUUGUGGAACUCACCGCCAGACUGUGAAUAGAAUGUGUGGGAGCGUUGCUCGUCGCGCUGUCGCCCGUGGGAUAUAAGGCUGCGGCAGUGCGCGCGCGCACCUUUCACACACAACCAUGGUGACUAAAUGGUUCCAUUCGACCCGUCUUGAAACACGGACCAAGGAGUCUAACAUAUGUGCGAGUUCUUGGGUUUGAAACCUACGUGCGCAAUGAAAGUGAUUACUGAGAUGCUAGCAUCAGCAGCCGACCGAUCAAUUGGGAGAGGUUUGAGCAUGAGCAUAUCUGUUAGGACCCGAAAGAUGGUGAACUAUGCUUGUGAAGGGCGAAGCCUGGGGAAACUCAGGUGGAGGCUCGUAGCGAUACUGACGUGCAAAUCGUUCGUCAUACAUGAGUAUAGGGGCGAAAGACUAAUCGAACCAUCUAGUAGCUGGUUCCCUCCGAAGUUUCCCUCAGGAUAGCUGGAGUUGAACAGUUUUAUCAGGUAAAGCGAAUGAUUAGAGGAAUCGGGGACGUGUUGUCCUCGACCUAUUCUCAAACUUUAAAUGGGUAAGCUGCAGUUGUUACUUUGUUGAACUUCUGCGUUUAAUUACAACUCUAAGUGGGCCAUUUUUGGUAAGCAGAACUGGCGAUGAGGGAUGAACCUAACGUUGGGAUAAGGUGCUCAACUGCUCGCUCAUCAGAUACCAUAAAGGGUGUUGGUUCAUUUUAACAGCAGGACGGUGGUCAUGGAAGUCGAAACCCGCUAAGGAGUGUGUAACAACUCACCUGCCGAAUGGACUAGCCCCGAAAAUGGAUGGCGCUUAAGCGGGUGACCGAUACCCAACCAUUGCUGCAAUUGUGCGGCAGCAAUGAGUAGGAGGGCAUGGGGGCUUGUGAUGAAG
rnacentral:rRNA from 1 species